GGUUGUUUCAUUGUGGAGUUUCUUGUGAGCUUACAGCCUGUAACAAGCACAAGAAAAAUAUGGAAUGCCUGAAUGUGGGAGCCUGCUUUUCUUUUCUGAAAGGUUUCUGCUCUGCUGUUUUAUCAGGUCCGUACAUACAGAGAUCUGUAGAUUGAUGUUUCCUCUCUUUAGUCUGAGAAAUUAAGGUGAAGAUGAAGACUUAAGGGAAAUGGAGGCUUCUUAGGACUAGACAGGCAAAAUACCAGUCUAAGAAGACAGAACUGAUUUUAAUACAGAAGUUACAUAACUUAAUAAAUAUGCAUCUUUAUGAAUGCUAAUCUCUUACAAUCAAUAUUAUCAGUCAUCUCACUGUAUCCAAAAGUGUGAUUGAUUUAACUGGUUGGUGUGUGUGUGUGUCACACAUACACAGAGCUUACUUCAUGGGUUGUAGCUCCUGUCAGGAAAUAUCUAGCUUAUCAAACAUGGAAUCUUACAUCAGAAAUGUGAAAUACUUGCUGCACAUAUUGUGGCCUCCACAGAGUACUUGGGAAUAUCUGCUCUGUAACACCUGGAACGCCUUCUCUGAUUUUGUGAUCAUUAGAUUUUUGACACUUCUUCUCAUUACGCAUUUAGCAGUUUCUGCACUUCCUUAAAUGUGUUUCCACAGAGGUGCCACUGAUUUGAUUGGUAGGCUUAAGUAGAACCGACUGUGUCUUCUCACAGAAGCAAUCCAUGCAGCCCCCUAGUGGCAACACCUUGCCCCCAGACUCCCAAAGCGGUAUUAUAUCAGGCAGUCUUAGUGCAGCAACAGCUGUUUUUACAGAAAGAUAAGUGCAUUUGAAAACUGGAAGCAUCUUUAGAAACUUUUACAAAGUGUUUACUAAUGCCAUUAAUAAUGUCAGUAUCUUGUCACUGAUAAAGUCUUUUGUAUGUUGGUUAAGGUUUCUAGUAGUAAUCAAGAGUAACUUGAGCAGAAAAUGAUGACGUGAAGUACAAGAGUCUUAAAAGAGAUAAUAGGGAACUUCUUUGAUUUAAGAAGGAAAAAGUAUGCAAAAAUAUUUCUUCUUUGUCAAAGAUAUUCUUUGAUUUUCAAAAAUGUCUAAUUCUUUCCAAUCAUUAGCAAACUUGUGCAACAUUUAUUCUACCUUAUUGCUGAGUUUCAAAAUUCCUUGGGCCUCAUGAAACAGAUAGGAUAGCACAGGUAACAAAACACAUGCAACAAUCUGCUUUACAGAAACUUCCUAGGAGUCUUCUACCUUUCCUGCUGUUAAAGAUUAUGAAAAGUCUGAAUUUCUGAGCCUUAUAGUUAUUUGGAAGAAAAUGGCAGUUGCUAAAGUGUUUUUAAAGUUUCUUCAUGCUAAGAGGUUUUGUUUUGAGCAUAUGAAAAAUAUAAUUCAUGUAAUUCCCUAAUAAGGUUUCAUUACAAUUACUGGAAGACAAUGAUAAGUGUUAAGAUUUCAAUAAAAAUAGUGUGAGUAACGUGACAGAAUUAAAGUUGUCUGGAAAAACACCUCACAGUUGAUUUCUUUAAAGUUGUAGCAUAAUAAGUAUUUAAAUAAAGCAGUGCAAAUAGUUGCAAAUACUUUACAGUCACUUUGUUAUUUUUCUUGUUAUCAGCCAUGUGGAACUCAGUAUGCUUUGAAGACAAAAAUGGUUAUUUAAAAAAUUCACUUUAAUGUCUAUCAGAAAAAGCUUGAGAGAGGAAGGAUGCGUGGAG